rnacentral:rRNA from 1 species
GGGAACAACAGUUAGAAAUGACUGCUAAUACCGCAUAUGCCUAAGUACCACAUGGUACAAUAGGGAAAGGAGCAAUCCGCUGAUAGAUGGGCUUGCGUCUGAUUAGAUAGUUGGUGGGGUAACGGCCUACCAAGUCGACGAUCAGUAGCCGGACUGAGAGGUUGAACGGCCACAUUGGGACUGAGAUACGGCCCAGACUCCUACGGGAGGCAGCAGUCGGGAAUAUUGCGCAAUGGAGGAAACUCUGACGCAGUGACGCCGCGUGCAGGAAGAAGGUUUUCGGAUUGUAAACUGCUUUAGACAGGGAAGAAAAAAGACAGUACCUGUAGAAUAAGCUCCGGCUAACUACGUGCCAGCAGCCGCGGUAAUACGUAGGGAGCAAGCGUUAUCCGGAUUUAUUGGGUGUAAAGGGUGCGUAGACGGAGAAGCAAGUUAGUUGUGAAAUCCCUCGGCUUAACUGAGGAACUGCAACUAAAACUACUUCCCUUGAGUGUUGGAGAGGAAAGUGGAAUUCCUAGUGUAGCGGUGAAAUGCGUAGAUAUUAGGAGGAACACCAGUGGCGAAGGCGACUUUCUGGACAAUAACUGACGUUGAGGCACGAAAGUGUGGGGAGCAAACAGGAUUAGAUACCCUGGUAGUCCACACCGUAAACGAUGGA